rnacentral:rRNA from 1 species
AUUGAACGCUGGCGGCAUGCCUUACACAUGCAAGUCGAACGGUAACGCGGGGCAACCUGGCGACGAGUGGCGAACGGGUGAGUAAUGUAUCGGAACGUGCCCAGUUGUGGGGGAUAACUGCUCGAAAGAGCAGCUAAUACCGCAUACGACCUGAGGGUGAAAGCGGGGGAUCGCAAGACCUCGCGCAAUUGGAGCGGCCGAUAUCAGAUUAGGUAGUUGGUGGGGGAAAGGCUCGCCAAGCCGACGAUCUGUAGCUGGUCUGAGAGGACGACCAGCCACACUGGGACUGAGACACGGCCCAGACUCCUACGGGAGGCAGCAGUGGGGAAUUUUGGACAAUGGGCGCAAGCCUGAUCCAGCCAUGCCGCGUGCGGGAAGAAGGCCUUCGGGUUGUAAACCGCUUUUGUCAGGGAAGAAAAGGCUCCUGUUAAUACCGGGGGCUCAUGACGGUACCUGAAGAAUAAGCACCGGCUAACUACGUGCCAGCCGCCGCCGUAA